CCUACGGGUGGCAGCAGUAGGGAAUAUUGCUCAAUGGGGGAAACCCUGAAGCAACAACGCCGCGUGGAGGAUGAAGGUUUUCGGAUUGUAAACUCCUUUUGUUAGAGAAGAUAAUGACGGUAUCUAACGAAUAAGCACCGGCUAACUCCGUGCCAGCAGCCGCGGUAAAACGGAGGGUGCAAGCGUUAUCCGGAAUCACUGGGCGUAAAGUGCGCGUAGGCGGCAUAGUAAGUCAGAUGUGAAAUCCUAUGGCUUAACCAUAGAACUGCAUUUGAAACUGUUAUUCUAGAGUAUGGGAGAGGUAGGUGGAAUUCUUGGUGUAGGGGUGAAAUGCGUAGAGAUCAAGAGGAAUACUCAUUGCGAAGGCGACCUACUAGAACAUAACUGACGCUGAUGCGCGAAAGCGUGGGGAGCAAACAGGAUUAGAUACCCGUGUAGUC
rnacentral:rRNA from 1 species